AUUUGUAGAGGAUGAUUUUGGUGCGGUAUCUUCCGAGUUCCUUGGAACAGGACGCCUUAGAGGGUGAGAGCCCCGUACGGUUGAAUGCCUAGCCUCUGUAAAUCUCCUUCGACGAGUCGAGUAGUUUGGGAAUGCUGCUCUAAAUGGGAGGUAAAUUUCUUCUAAAGCUAAAUAUUGGCCAGAGACCGAUAGCGCACAAGUAGAGUGAUCGAAAGAUGAAAAGCACUUUGAAAAGAGGGUUAAAUAGCACGUGAAAUUGUUGAAAGGGAAGGAUUUGUGACCAGACUUUUUCUGGGCGGAUCAUCCGGGGUUCUCUCCGGUGCACUUUGCCCAGUAAAGGCCAGCAUCGAUUUUCGGCGGCGGAUAAAAGCAGUGGGAAUGUGGCUCCCUACGGGGAGUGUUAUAGCCCAUUGUAUAAUACGCUGCUGGGGAUCGAGGUACGCGCUUCUGCAAGGAUGCUGGCGUAAUGGUUAUCAAUCACCCGUCUUGAAACACGGACCAAGGAGUCGAACAUUUAUGCGAGUGUUUGGGUGUUAAACCCUCACGCGUAAUGAAAGUGAACGGAGGUGAGAGCCCGUACGGGUGCAUCAUCGACCGAUCCUGAAGUUUUCGGAUGGAUUUGAGUAA
rnacentral:rRNA from 1 species